rnacentral:rRNA from 1 species
AUGCAAGUCGAGCGAACAGAURAGGAGCUUGCUCCUYUGACGUUAGCGGCGGACGGGUGAGUAACACGUGGRUAACCUACCUAUAAGACUGGGAUAACUYCGGGAAACCGGRGCUAAUACCGGAUAAYAUWUUGAACCGCAUGGUUCAAWAGUGAAAGRYGGYUUUGCUGUCACUUAUAGAUGGAUCCGCGCCGUAUUAGCUAGUUGGUAAGGUAACGGCUUACCAAGGCAACGAUACGUAGCCGACCUGAGAGGGUGAUCGGCCACACUGGAACUGAGACA